CCACAACAUAAUAUCUGCUAUUUGGCAAUUAUUUAUUUAUUUUUUUUGUAGCAAUCAUUGGAUGAAUCAUACUCUAAGAAAAGCUCUAAGGAAAUGGUAGAAAGGACAAAUCAUGUUGGAUUGGAGACUCACACCUGCCUCCCCUUCCCAGGACGCACCUUGGGCAGCUACUCUGUCCUGUGCCAGAACUGUGUUCAAAGCAGAGGCUGUCUCACAUGAGGAGGACACGCUCUUCACCUCUGAAACUGACUAACUGGGGAGCCAGGCACUGAGGAAAUGAUUAUAAUUCCACAAGCUCUGAUUGGAAAUAAGUCAGUAAUAACAAUGUUGCUGCAAUCUCCACCAUGAAGAUCCAUGUGCCUGGCAUUUAACAGCAGAAAAGGUAAGCCUAGUCCCUUCUAUUAUAUAUGGUUCUUGCAUAAUUCCCAGUGUGAGUUUUAAAUAAUUUAAAAAUGUAAUAUGAUAUUUGCAAUUUAGUGAAACAUAUCUGACAACUGGGCAUUUUAGAAUUUAUUGUUGCGUUAUUUUAUACCCUUCCUAAAACCCUAAUUCUAUUUCUAUCACAGAAUGGAUGUCUUCUUUCCUAUUAAAAGACACUGAAAAAUAAUGGCAAAUGAGCUGUGGUCACUUUGAGCAGCUGCUCAGGACCUCAGUCAAGUAUGGGUCUUGAUUGCAAAGAGAGUUCUACAGACCCCAGUGAAUGGGAGAGGAAACACAGGUCCAUCUUAUGUACAGAGGUACCACAUGGGUACAACUUGACUACACUGAGCACAGUUUCCUAGGCUGUGUUCUGAUCCUGCUCUUAGCUGCCACUCGAUCCAGCCGGAGUUGACUAAGAUACAUUCCCAGUUUGUAAUACUCAGCCCAGUGGAAAGAAGGGUAAUACUGAAUAUAAAAUGGAUUACAAGAGCAGAACUGGAGCCCACCUCCCCACUCCUCAGAGAGAAAGUAAGGACUAUUGUUGCCACACAUUUCCCAAAUUUGGUAUGGACAAAAACUACAUGCAUGAAGAGGUGCUGAUUGGCAAGGAAGACUCGGCUUCUAACUCAUUAGGUAUCUGAACAGCCAGUCCAUCUGCGUCUAGAGGUAUCUUGCUGUGUUCAAAGCUAAAAGUAAGCUCCCCUUUUAACAAGUCAGUGUUUCUACUCUUUUUCUUUCAGAUGAAUUCUCUUAAUAUUACUCAAGUAGCCAAGCAGUGAGCAAGAGAGCUCUGAGCGUCAGCUCCCCCCACCUGACACGUUGCAUCAUAUUAAUGCUGAAUUUCAGACAUGAAUUAUUUUAAUGGCCCAUUUUAUAAGCCAUUUAUUGUCUGAAUUCUUACAAGAAUUAGCAAGUUUUAUUCUUUCACCACUUAAUAAAAUUCUUUCCAGCUUUUCCAGCUCAGAAGGGGACAGUGGAAAGCUGGUCAGGGCACAUUUGUCCUGUGGGGCAGCAGAUUUCUUUACACCAGGGUGCAGGCAGGUCUUCUGGUGGUAAGAAAUGGACUGUAUGUCAGGAAGCACAGAGUGCAAGGGAAAAUUUAGUUCAGAGUUGUUUUUCUAACCUGGGAAAGUGCAUAAUCUUGCAAAAUACUAUGAAGAGUACUUGAUUGUCAUGUGAAAUAGUUUAGCCCUAAUAAAAAUCCCCAGAAUAACAAAUAGGAAGGUAUUUGUAAACGGCAUGAAAUAUCAGAGACCAAAGCAGUGUUUUGCUGUGAUGGAAUGUCUUAGUACAUUAUUUAUGCAUUUUUGUUUUUAUUCAAAGCUCUGUAGACACAUAUCUGCUUAAAUACAUUAACUUUCCCAUUCUACUGUCUCAUUGGGCAGAAAUAGAUUCAAAUCACUAUGCGUAGUGUAUUAAUCAGAAUCUAUACAGAAAAUAUAAACAACUCUAAAUACUUCAAAUAGAGAAAAUUUAAUACAUGAAAUGGGUUAUGCAGAUAAUAAAAGAUCUGAAAUGCUAAUCAGGGAAGGAGGAGGCAACCCAAAGAUAUGCAACAGCAAGAAGCCACUACACCUAGGAGGUGAUAUUUCCAGGAACUGGUACACUCAGGCUGGAACAAGUUCCACAGUGGACACAGGAGUCUGCCCAGCCAAAGCUGGGGACAUAGAAGGAGGAGAUGACUAGUGGGAAUGCAGUCAGAGGAGACACAGUUUCUACUGAAAAUGCCUCCCCAAGACAGAGGGAGAAAUACAUUGACUUCUCUUUUUUCAUCUUCCAAUUUUCUGUUAGAACCCCACAAUUGUCAAAACUACGUGGAAACUAGUUGUCAAGGGAACCCCUAAAAUAGUGUUUUCUUUGAUUGCUAGCAGAGUAGAGGAAGGGAGGGACAUGGAUUUAAGGACAAGCAGCAGAUGGCCACCCAGCACACACAUGCUGACCUACAGCAUCCCAUCCAUGGCAAAUACCAAGCGUGUUACUGUUGUGCUAUCAGUUUUGAAAUUCAGUUCACUUUUUCUUUCCUUUAGUUUAAAUUUCUGAGUGACUUUUAUUGACUCAUCCCUUGCAUCCCUCAUCCCUUGUAACACACAGAUGCUGGAGUUUGCUGUGGUAGAAAAACAGAGAUCAGGAGGACGUGCAAAGGGAGAAAACUGGCGGGGAAGGCAUUGUAUGCUUUACGUGGAUAUGGCUACAUCUAAAAAAGAACUGGAAGGAAUACUGUGUUUUUUCAAGUUGUAUUUCUUUGGACAGACCCUAUAUUUAAAAAAAGAAAGUAUCCAUAACUACUGAGCUUUCUCUGGGUCUGUCAUUCCUUUUUAGGAUGGCUUUAGGGUCACACAGAGAACAAAGGACAUGGGCUCUAGCUUGAGGUCUGCUCUGGCCAGAAGCAGAGAGGCUGUGGAUGAAGAAAGGAAAGGAGGCAAAGUGCGUUCCACGUGUCCAUCAUCCCUGCUCCUACCCCACCUCCUCUGGGUCUACGCCAGGUUUCCCAGGGCAUUAUCUCCUCUGGUGCCCUCCUCACAUUCCUCGCCCAGGUGGGUCCU